ACGGGAGGCAGCAGUGGGGAAUAUUGCACAAUGGGGGAAACCCUGAUGCAGCGACGCCGCGUGAAGGAAGAAGUAUCUCGGUAUGUAAACUUCUAUCAGCAGGGAAGAAAAUGACGGUACCUGACUAAGAAGCCCCGGCUAACUACGUGCCAGCAGCCGCGGUAAUACGUAGGGGGCAAGCGUUAUCCGGAUUUACUGGGUGUAAAGGGAGCGUAGACGGAAUUGCAAGUCUGAUGUGAAAGGCAUGGGCUCAACCCGUGGACUGCAUUGGAAACUGUGAUUCUUGAGUGCCGGAGGGGUAAGCGGAAUUCCUGGUGUAGCGGUGAAAUGCGUAGAUAUCAGGAGGAACACCGGUGGCGAAGGCGGCUUGCUGGACGGCAACUGACGUUGAGGCUCGAAGGCGUGGGGAGCAAACAGGAUUAGAUACCCUGGUA
rnacentral:rRNA from 1 species